ACUUCUCAGACCCGGGAGGAUAGAUUCCAGCGAGGUCCACCACGCAGCACCUCCACAGAAGUCCCUGUCAUCCAAGGCCUACACCUACAUCCUUUCCAACAAUGUCUGGGCUCUUCCAGAUUGGCGACUUCAUUGAACACUCUGCUUUGGUCCUCGAGAAAAUGUUACAAUGUCAUUGCUACAUGAAGAGAAGAUCAAGAGAAUUCAGCCAGAAGACUGUAGAAACAAAGGAGAGAAGCCUGAAGAACAAAGCAGCCACAGAUCAACAGGAGUAUAGUUUAUUAGAGGUUGGUUAGAGACUUUUUGCUAAUGAGCUGUACUGUCCAUAGGCAUCAUCAUGGGGUUCUCAAAUCUAAUGAUACCCAUGCCAUCAAUUCUGAGUAAAGUGGUUACAAAAGAAACUGAUAUUUAAUUUUUACUAUAAUAGAAAAUGGCAUGUAUAUGUGUCUUAAUUCAUUCAGUAGAUGCAACAUAGGGUAGUGGAAUGAUCACUUUCCUGUAUAAUUAAUUGUAAGAGCUAGAGUUCAUAUAAUCACUAAUUAUUAAAAUAAAAAUAUUCUAUCUCAAAAAUAGCAUUACCAUAGCUUUUGUGGCUUUCUAUUAAUGAGUUAUUUUCUCAAUUUUUAUAUGUUUCAAAUCUUCAAUAACAAUCAGAGCUGAAAUAAUAAACACUGGCUAUUAUUGUUCUAAUAAAUAAAAUGGUUAUUUUUGCAUAAUGAGUAAGAACGUAACCAUUGGAGUCAGACAGGAGGAGUUGCUUAUUUGAGUUAUGACAUUUACUGGCCAUGCUACCUCAAAGAAAUUAGACAUUCUGAACCUCAGCCUCUUUAUCCAUAAAAUAGAAUAAUAAUAGUAGCUACUUCUUGGGAUCACUGAUAGGGAUGGUAGGUUUAAAUGGCACAGUGAAUUCAAGAAAGUAUUUGGGACAAUGUCUGAUAAUUAGUAAAUGCUCCAGAGUCCUAGUAUUUUUUGUUAUUAUUAAAAAAAAUACUGUAACUCACAAUAGACAUUAAAGGAAAGAGCACACAACAUGAGGAUAAGUUUAACAAACAGUGAUAAAAAAGUCAAUACCAGUGUCAAGAAAAAGCACAGCUAGGUCAAGAAAGAGAACCCUGAUUGCAACCAAGGAGCCUUUGCUUGCGCCAUCCUCAUCACAACUUUAUCUCUCCCCUUUAGCAUUAGCAAGUAUCCUGAAUUGCAUGAAAAUCAUUUCCUUGCAUUAUUUUAAAAUUUUACUACCCACAUGUAUUUCUAAGCAAUAUUGCCUGUUUUUGACCUUUAUACAGUAAAGUCAUCUCAAAAGUCAACAAUGGAAAAACAGAAAUAUCUAAUUAGAAAACGGACAAAAUAAGUUAAGAUAUUUCACUGAAGAGGAUAUAGAGAUUACCAAUAAGCAUAUGAAAAGGUGUUCAACAUCACUAACCAAUAGGGAAUUAAAAAUUAAGUCCAUUAUGAGAUAUCAUUACACAACUAUUAGAAUAGCUAAAACUUAAAAAGUAGUGACUAGCAAAUUUGAGUGAAGAUGUUUAUAAACUGGAUCUCUCAUAUUUUAUAGGUUCAAAUGUAAAGUAAUACAGCUUAUCAAUUUAUUAAAAAUUAAACAUACUCUUAUACAACCCAGCAAUUGUACUACAUUUAUUCCAGGAGAAUGAAAACUUAUAUCCACACGAAAACCUGUACAUGAUUGCUCACAGUAGCUUUGUUACCGCCCAAAACUGAAAACAAUCUGGAUAUCAUUCAAAGUGUGAAUAAUUAAAUAAAAUAUGGUAUAUUCAUACCAUAGAAUACUACUCAGUAGUAGAAAGGAAUAAACUACAACAACUUGGAUGGAUCUUAAAUGUAUUGGGCUGAGUGAAAAAGCCAAUUUCUAAAGGUUAUAUGCUAUUUAUAUUACAUUCUCAAAAAUGACAAAAUAAUAUACAUAAAAUACAGAUUAAUAGCCACCAAGGAUUAGGGAUAAUAGAAGGGAUAGAAAUGAGUGUGACUUUAAGGGAGUAGUAUGAGGAAGAUCUUUGUGGUGAUGGAAUGGUUCUGUAUCUUUGAUUGUAGUAAUUAUUACACAACUGUAAAUGACAUAGAAAUAUAUACCUACAUCAUACUAAUGUUAACUUCUGAGUUUUGAUGUUGUACUACAGUAAUGUAAGAUGUAAUAAAAAUUGAG
rnacentral:lncRNA from 10 species